rnacentral:rRNA from 1 species
UACGUAGGGGGCAAGCGUUGUUCGGAAUUACUGGGCGUAAAGGGCGCGUAGGCGGCACGGCAAGUCAGGAGUGAAAGCCCGGGGCUCAACCCCGGAAUGUCUUUUGAAACUGCCGAGCUAGAGUGCGGAAGAGGCAACUGGAAUUCCCAGUGUAGCGGUGAAAUGCGCAGAUAUCAGGAGGAACACCAAUGGCGAAGGCAGCUCGCUGGGACGUGACUGACGCUGAGACGCGAAAGCGUGGGGAGCAAACAGG